AUACGGAGGGUGCAAGCGUUGUCCGGAAUCAUUGGGUGUAAAGGGUGCGUAGGCGGGAGCCUAAGUCUGUGGUGAAAUCUUGCCGCUUAACGGUAAAAUUGCCAUGGAUACUGGGUUUCUUGAGUACAGAAGAGGUCGGUGGAAUUCGUAGUGUAGCGGUGAAAUGCAUAGAUAUUACGAAGAACACCAGUGGCGAAGGCGGCCGGCUGGACUGUAACUGACGCUGAGGCACGAAAGCGUGGGGAGCGAACAGGAUUAGAUACCCUGGUAGUCCACGCUGUAAACGAUGUAUGCUAGUUGUUGGUCCCUUGGGGCCAGUGACGCAGUUAACGCAGUAAGCAUACCACCUGGGGAGUACGUCGGCAACGAUGAA
rnacentral:rRNA from 1 species